GNNNACUUCCANCGGAGGCAGAAAAAGGACUCCUACGGGAGGCAGCAGUGGGACAGUUGGCUUCCCCGAACGCUGGCGGCUGGCUCAGAACGAACGCUGGCGGUUGGCUCAGAACGAACGCUGGCGGUUGGCUCAGAACGAACGCUGGCGGCCCACUCCUACGGGAGGCAGCAGUGGGACAGUUGGCUCAGAACGAACGCUGGCGGCCCACUCCUACGGGAGGCAGCAGUGGGACUCCUACGGGAGGCAGCAGUGGGACCC
rnacentral:misc_RNA from 1 species